UAUUUUCCCAUUCUUCUCACGAUUCCCCUCACCUUCUCUCUAUUUCGACCUUUGAGCUUCCCCUGUCUAUGGCGAGCUUCCCCAUCAGCACCUUCGAGCUUCCCCUAUCUGCGGCGAGCUUCCCCAUCACCACCUUCCUGCUUCCCGUCUCUCCGGCGCCGGCUAUUAUUCGACAACCGCGAUUGUGACGACGGCUCAAUCGAUGGAACCGACCUCCUAUUGAAGCAGACCUCCGAUUUCUUUUUCUUCCCUAAGGAUGGAGUUGACCUCUGAUUUCCAAUAUAGCUAUUUUAGAAGCUUGCUUUCUUAUAGUAAGCUCUACCGAGAGUGCCUUCGCAGAGCUAAGUAUAUUGGUCACAGGGUAAUUUUUUUCUUCAAAAUUGAUUUAUUUAUUGGUCACAGGGUGUUUGCCACAUCAACUCCAAAGAAUUUUGAUGUCUUUUAUCCUUACUUACAUCUGUUGUUUCCACUUUCAUAUCUCCAUGACUUUCCUAAAUCAAUGAAAGCCAAUUCCUUAGACCAAAGUUAUGUAUAAUAUGUUAUAAGAAAAUGUUUAGUUAUCACCCAUAUUAGAGAGAAAGAGAGAAAUCAGGCUCUCCUAGAUCUACAUAUAAUCUUCUUAAUCUCAAUAGACAGACCAAAUUGGUUAUAAAAUCUGGUAUGCAAAUGAGACCCUUAUAGUUUAAUGAAUAAUACCUUCUACAUACUCUAAGGCCCGUAGAGGAGAGGUUGUAUAUUGA